AAUAUUGGACAAUGGGUGCAACCCUGUUCCAGCCAUGCCUCGUGUGUGAAGAUGGUCUUCUGUUUAUAAAUCACUUUAAUUUGGGAGGAAGGGCUUUAGCCUAAUACGCUGACGUUUUGACGUUACCAACAGAAUAAGCACUGACUAACUCUCUUCCAGCAGCCGCGGUAAUACAUAGGGUGCAAGCGUUAAUCGGAAUUACUGGGAGUAAAGCGCGCGUAGGUUGUUCAGUAAGAUGGGUGUGAAAUCCCCGGGCUUAACCUGGGAGCUGCUUUCAUAACUGCUGAGCUAGAGUACGGUAGGGGGUAGUGGAAUUUCCUGUGUAGCGGUGAAAUGCGUAGAUAUAGGAAGGAACACCAGUGGCGAAGGCGACUACCUGGACUGAUACUGACACUGAGGUGCGAAAGCGUGGGGAGCAAA
rnacentral:rRNA from 1 species